GACAUGUGUGUCCACCCCCACCUGUCAGGGGAACCAGCCCUCCUUUCUCCCUCCAAACCCAGGCCCUGGGGAAGGAGCACGCUGGCUUUUCACGCAGCUCAUGAUGAAGGUGUUAAGGCCCAGGCCUCUUUCCCUCCUUGAGGAGAGUAAGGCUCAGGCCUCUGCUCCCCUUGGGAUGGGGACUCAGGAGAUUCAGGGUCCUGCUGGGGUGGGGGUGGGCAUCUAGGUCUGGCCAAGUCUCCUUCACCUCGGGCCCAGGAAGUGGCUUUCCAGCUGGCUCAGAAUUGGAUCCGAACCAACUUUGAGGUCUACUCCCAAAAGUCAGCCAUGUUUGAGAAGUAUGACAUCAGCAACAGUGGGCAGCCAGGUGGAGGAGGGGAGUAUGAAGUUCAGGAGGGCUUUGGCUGGACCAAUGGAGUGGUCCUGAUGCUCCUGGACCGCUAUGGCGACCGGCUGAC